rnacentral:tRNA from 1 species
GGCAGGGUGGCCUAGUGAAAAGAACAUGGGCCAGGGAAUCAGAGGACCUGGGUUCUAAUCCCAGCUCUGCCA